AUUCCCUACGGGGCGCAGCAGUAGGGAAUCUUCCACAAUGGACGAAAGUCUGAUGGAGCAACGCCGCGUGAGUGAAGAAGGGUUUCGGCUCGUAAAGCUUUGUUGUUAGUGAAGAAAGAUAGAGGUAGUAACUGGCCUUUAUUUGACGGUAAUUACUUAGAAAGUCACGGCUAACUACGUGCCAGCAGCCGCGGUAAUACGUAGGUGGUAAGCGUUGUCCGGAUUUAUUGGGCGUAAAGCGAGUGCAGG
rnacentral:rRNA from 1 species